GACAGAGGAUGCAAGCGUUAUCCGGAAUGAUUGGGCGUAAAGCGCACGCAGGCGGUUUACCAAGUUUGGAGUGACAGUUGGUGGCUCAACCAUCAAAGUACUUCAAAAACUGGCAGACUUGAGAGCGAGAGAGGAACAUGGAACUCCAGGUGGAGUAGUGAAAUGCGUAGAUAUCUGGAAGAACACCAGUGGCGAAGGCGGCGACCUGGGCCAAUACUGACGCUGAGGUGCGAAAGCGUGGGGAGCAAACAGG
rnacentral:rRNA from 1 species